GACCUACUGGUGUGAAAUAAACACAUGGUGGUGGUAUCACAAGACUGAAUUCAGGAUCACUGUGGACAGAGCUACUGUUCCUCCAAACCCUGGCUCCAUCACCUCCAGACCUCUCCUCUCCACGACACACCCAUCAACACACAUCACCAUGACAACUGACUCCUCAAACUCCACAGCAGAUAGGACCAAUGGAACAGUAUCCACAGACAUGACUAGAACACAA